UACGUAGGGUGCAAGCGUUGUCCGGAAUUAUUGGGCGUAAAGAGCUCGUAGGCGGUCUGUCGCGUCGGCUGUGAAAACCCGGGGCUCAACCCCGGGCCUGCAGUCGAUACGGGCAGACUAGAGUGUGGUAGGGGAGACUGGAAUUCCUGGUGUAGUGGUGGAAUGCGUAGAGCUCCGGAGGAACACCAGUGGCGAAGGCGGCCGCCUGGGCCUUUGCUGACGCUGAGCCGCGAAAGCGUGGGGAGCGAGCCGG
rnacentral:rRNA from 1 species